GCCCCAAACCCAAUCCUCACAUCAGUCCGUUUGCAAGCUGGUAGCUCCUGAUCAUCACAAGGAAACUAAUUAAUCGGAAACGCAGCACUGCACAGCCCUGCAACGCUCAGCGCAUUCCGUGUAUAGCAAUAAAGCCAAGCUAGCUGUGCACUAGUCCACCCAUCAAAUUAUAACGUACACGUGCAUUUAAACUCAAUAGCCAGCUCUCAUACGCCAAACUGCAAACCCUUUCAAAAUCUUGUGCAGCCUCGACCCCUUCGUUGAGUCGACGAAGCAUAUGGAUGCUGAGGAUCAAAAGGUCGGCUCUGUCGAUGAGGAGGAAGAGUUUAGUGAGGAGAGGGUGAGGAUGAAGUUGAGGGUUUUGGCUACGAUGGUUGGAGUCGAAGAAUGCAGCGAGCCGGCGGCGGUGCUGGCGGAGGUUGUGAGGGUUAUUAGGGAGUUGGACGAGAGGGCAAAGAGAAGGUUUUCUUGGUGUCAGAAGGCGGUACUUUGAGAGAUGGGGUGGGCAAUUGGUCGUCACUUGUGUGUUUGUAAAAUUGGGUUACUUCGCUAAGCAGGGGCUUUUGUGCGCGCGCGCCCGUGUUUUCCUUUUUUUCUUUUUUCCUUUUUAAUGUCCUUGGUGAAAUAUGAAUGUUAAAAGGGAAAAUAAAAAUUCUCUCUUUUUUUUUCAUUUUUUGGACAUUUUUCGCGACGGAUGAUUUUUUAAGGAUCAGAUUCAUUUGUCCGUGUGGUGGUCCGAAGGAAUAAGUAUUCUUGAACGAGCACGUUCAUGCGUAAGCUCUCAUGUUUCGUACUGAUUUAACGAGGAUUUUUGACAUUUAAAA